UGGAAUUCAGUCCCAUCUUGUCUGAUUCAAAAGCCCAUGCUUGUUCAUCAGGGAGAGGGCAAAGUGAUGAAAUAAUGCCCUCAGCUCAGGGGCAUUCCAGAAGGCAGGUCAGAGUUAUCUCUUCUCUCUGUCUGUUCUGAGGAACUAGCUUCCAGAAUGGGAAAGGUAUAGGGUGGUACCAGGUGAUAUUGAGGCACAGAGUUGCCUGAAGUGUCCUGAGAAGAUUCCUUUGCAUUAUUUACAGAAUGAAGGAGGAUAGAGGGGGAAGUUCAGGACUCUAAGAUAUCUCCCCCUUUGCCAAGUGUCUGAAGAUCACAGAUAAAGGAAGAGGCCUGGUGGGAAGUUGGAAUGAUGGAAAGUGUUGCCAGAAACAUCUGAGAGGAAGGAAGUCAAAGAGGCACACAGGAGCCACAGAGAAGAGUGAAAGUCAGAAGUCAGUCCUUGGGAUGAAGGUGAGAAGUCAAGUUUGAGAUACU
rnacentral:lncRNA from 13 species